GGAAUCUUGCACAAUGGAGGAAACUCUGAUGCAGCGAUGCCGCGUGAGUGAAGAAGGCCUUUGGGUUGUAAAGCUCUUUUGUAGGGGAAGAUAAUGACUGUACCCUAAGAAUAAGGUCCGGCUAACUUCGUGCCAGCAGCCGCGGUAAUACGAAGGGACCUAGCGUAGUUCGGAAUUACUGGGCGUAAAGCGCGCGUAGGCCGUUGAGUUAGUUAAUUGUGAAAUCCCAAAGCUUAACUUUGGGACUGCAAUUAAAACUGCUCGACUAGAGUUUGAUAGAGGAAAGCGGAAUACAUAGUGUAGAGGUGAAAUUCGUAGAUAUUAUGUAGAACACCAGUUGCGAAGGCGGCUUUCUGGAUCAACACUGACGCUGAGGCGCGAAAGUAUGGGUAGCAAAGAGGAUUAGAUACCCUCGUAGUCCAUACCAUAAGCGAUGAUUGCUAGAUGUUGGAAAUUUAUUUUCAGUAUCGCAGCUAACGCAUUAAGCAAUCCGCCUGGGGAGUACGACCGCAAGGUUAAAACUCAAAUGAAUUGACGG
rnacentral:rRNA from 1 species